CUAACAAAAUGUUUCCAGAGAUUAGGUUUGUGCAGCAGUAAUUUUUUGUGCUGCUUUUGUUUUGAUGAUACUGUUGAUGACCUCUGGAAACAUUUUUUUAGUGUCUUUGAAAUGUCAGAGGCACAAACUAAAAUUUGACUCCAUUUUAUCAGAUUUGAAGAAGGUUGGAGGUUGAGCUUCACUCAGGCUUUUAUUUUGACAUUAUCUAACCCCAUCCUCUCCAAAGGUAAUUUAUCCUUCUGAUUGACCCCUCACCUGUCUUUUUGUUUGUUUUCUCUCUUCCCCUUUUAAUUUGUUGCCAUGGAAACGCCUCGGACCCUCCACCUGUCCUGCCCUCCCACCUUUACCUGUCCUGUCCCUCCGCUGCCUUCUCUGCUGUCU